rnacentral:rRNA from 1 species
GACGAACGCUGGCGGCGUGCUUAACACAUGCAAGUCGAACGAUGAAACCUAGCUUGCUAGGUCGAUUAGUGGCGAACGGGUGAGUAACACGUGACUAACCUGCCCCUUUCUCUGGGAUAACGCUCCGAAAGGAGUGCUAAUACCGGAUACUCACAUCGAGGCACAUGCCUUGGUGUGGAAAGUUUUUCGGAAAGGGAUGGAGUCGCGGCCUAUCAGCUUGUUGGUGAGGUAACGGCUCACCAAGGCGACGACGGGUAGCCGGCCUGAGAGGGGGACCGGCCACACUGGGACUGAGACACGGCCCAGACUCCUACGGGAGGCAGCAGUGGGGAAUAUUGCACAAUGGGCGCAAGCCUGAUGCAGCGACGCCGCGUGAGGGAUGAAGGUCUUCGGAUUGUAAACCUCUUUCAGUAGGGACGAAGCGAAAGUGACGGUACCUAAAGAAGAAGCACCGGCUAACUACGUGCCAGCAGCCGCAGUAA